AUUGAACGCUGGCGGCAGGCCUAACACAUGCAAGUCGAGCGGCAGCGGAAAGUAGCUUGCCACUUUGCCGGCGAGCGGCGGACGGGUGAGUAAUGUCUGGGAAACUGCCUGAUGGAGGGGGAUAACUACUGGAAACGGUAGCUAAUACCGCAUGACCUCGAAAGAGCAAAGUGGGGGAUCUUCGGACCUCACGCCAUCGGAUGUGCCCAGAUGGGAUUAGCUAGUAGGUGAGGUAAUGGCUCACCUAGGCGACGAUCCCUAGCUGGUCUGAGAGGAUGACCAGCCACACUGGAACUGAGACACGGUCCAGACUCCUACGGGAGGCAGCAGUGGGGAAUAUUGCACAAUGGGCGCAAGCCUGAUGCAGCCAUGCCGCGUGUGUGAAGAAGGCCUUAGGGUUGUAAAGCACUUUCAGCGAGGAGGAAGGCAUCAUACUUAAUACGUGUGGUGAUUGACGUUACUCGCAGAAGAAGCACCGGCUAACUCCGUGCCAGCAGCCGCGGUAAUACGGAGGGUGCAAGCGUUAAUCGGAAUUACUGGGCGUAAAGCGCACGCAGGCGGUUUGUUAAGUCAGAUGUGAAAUCCCCGCGCUUAACGUGGGAACUGCAUUUGAAACUGGCAAGCUAGAGUCUUGUAGAGGGGGGUAGAAUUCCAGGUGUAGCGGUGAAAUGCGUAGAGAUCUGGAGGAAUACCGGUGGCGAAGGCGGCCCCCUGGACAAAGACUGACGCUCAGGUGCGAAGCGUGGGGAGCAAACAGG
rnacentral:rRNA from 1 species